rnacentral:misc_RNA from 1 species
UCGCGGGGUUCAAAGCGAUGUGUAUAAAACAGAACUGUAUACAACGACGUGUACGGCGAACAGUUGCAGUUGUAUAGUAUAGCCGGUUUAGAGUAAUUUUUAUCGUCCGCGUGUGAAAGAAAAAGCGCUGACCGUAGCAGUUGGCAGUAGCAACAACAAGUGCGAUAAUUGUAAAAACAAUCGUUGGCAAACGUACAAUUACUAUAGGUGUAUUAUAUACUACCGUCGCCUCGCUACCGCCUCGGUUAAUAUCUACUCACGGACGGAUGAACUGCACAUUAGAGCAACGAGAGGCUAGUUGCUCCAGAUUCUGCAUCGCUGGGUACAGAAGUUUCUUUGGAUUUUCAAUUCGCAGGCGAAAUUCCCCGGACGAUACGUCGUCGUCGUCGCGUUUCUCGCGCAUACGAUGGACGAUGUAUAUUUUAUCCCGUUUGUACCCCAUGCG